GAUGAACGCUGGCGGCGUGCUUAACACAUGCAAGUCGAACGAAGCAUUUGCGACAGAUUUUUUCGGAAUGAAGUUGCUUAUGACUGAGUGGCGGACGGGUGAGUAACGCGUGGGUAACCUGCCUUGUACUGGGGGAUAGCAGCUGGAAACGGCUGGUAAUACCGCAUAAGCGCACAAUGUUGCAUGACAUGGUGUGAAAAACUCCGGUGGUAUAAGAUGGACCCGCGUCUGAUUAGCUAGUUGGUGAGAUAACAGCCCACCAAGGCGACGAUCAGUAGCCGACCUGAGAGGGUGACCGGCCACAUUGGGACUGAGACACGGCCCAGACUCCUACGGGAGGCAGCAGUGGGGAAUAUUGCACAAUGGAGGAAACUCUGAUGCAGCGACGCCGCGUGAGUGAAGAAGUAAUUCGUUAUGUAAAGCUCUAUCAGCAGGGAAGAUAGUGACGGUACCUGACUAAGAAGCUCCGGCUAAAUGCGUG
rnacentral:rRNA from 1 species